CCCUUAGAUGUCCUGGGCCGCACGCGCGCUACACUGACAUGUUCAACAAGUUUCUCCUAGUUCGACAGGACUGGGAAAUCUUUGAACGCAUGUCGUGAUAGGGAUAGAUCAUUGCAAUUAUUGAUCUUGAACGAGGAAUUCCUAGUAAACGCGAGUCAUCAGCUCGCAUUGAUUACGUCCCUGCCCUUUGUACACACCGCCCGUCGCACCUACCGAUUGAAUGUUUCGGUGAAGAUUCCGGAUAGGACUGAUUUGAUUUAUUUCAUUUCUGACCUAAAAGCUAUCUAAACCUCAACAUGUAGAGGAAGGUGAAGUCGUAACA
rnacentral:rRNA from 1 species